rnacentral:misc_RNA from 1 species
AAGUCGUAACAAGGUUUCCGUAGGUGAACCUACGGAAGGAUCAUUACAAAUUGACCAAACAGUAGAUUUUGUCUACAGCUGUACGGUCGAUCUGCUUUCGCUCGUAGUCAUGCUUCGGCAUGACUUCGUGUACACCUAAUGUGAAUUUUUAUACUUUGUUUCGGCAGCACUCUACUACUAAAACCUGUGGAGGUAAGGCUGUUGAUAGCCUAUGUUUAAAACUAGUUGAUAAAAUUUACAUGAUGUCUAAAUCUUUUUGAGAAAUCAAAUUACAAGUUAAAACUUUCAGUAACAGAUCUCUUGGUUCUC